rnacentral:lncRNA from 1 species
GACCUCCUCCUUUUGGCUUAUCGCCUCAUCCCUUUCACGAAGGGUCUCCACCAGGGAGGACAGCUGCUUCAAAACUUCUUCACUUCGAAUCUCUGCUGCAGCCGCCCUCUCAUCAGACUCCUUGAGAACCUUGCGAGUAUGAGACAACUCUGCCUCCAGGGACUUAAUACGCUCUUGUGCCUCAGCCGUUCUCUCGUCGGCUCUUUUGAGGGCCUCCAAGGCAGAAUGCAGCUUCGCUUGGAGGGACUCAGUAUGAGCUCGAGCUGCGGCAAGGUUGCCCCUGGCAUCACUAGUGGCAGACAAAUUCUCCUCCAGA